GACAGAGGGUGCAAACGUUGUUCGGAAUUACUGGGCGUAAAGCGCGUGUAGGCGGCCCUGCAAGUCGGAUGUGAAAUCCCUCGGCUCAACCGAGGACGUGCACCCGAAACUGGCGGGCUCGAGUAUGGAAGAGGGUCGCGGAAUUCCCGGUGUAGAGGUGAAAUUCGUAGAUAUCGGGAGGAACACCAGUGGCGAAGGCGGCGACCUGGGCCAAUACUGACGCUGAGGUGCGAAAGCGUGGGGAGCAAACAGG
rnacentral:rRNA from 1 species